GACGAACGCUGGCGGCGUGCCUAAUACAUGCAAGUAGAACGCUGAAGAGAGGAGCUUGCUCUUCUUGGAUGAGUUGCGAACGGGUGAGUAACGCGUAGGUAACCUGCCUUGUAGCGGGGGAUAACUAUUGGAAACGAUAGCUAAUACCGCAUAACAAUGGCUGACACAUGUCAUUUAUUUGAAAGGGGCACUUGCUCCACUACAAGAUGGACCUGCGUUGUAUUAGCUAGUAGGUGAGGUAAUGGCUCACCUAGGCGACGAUACAUAGCCGACCUGAGAGGGUGAUCGGCCACACUGGGACUGAGACACGGCCCAGACUCCUACGGGAGGCAGCAGUAGGGAAUCUUCGGCAAUGGGGGCAACCCUGACCGAGCAACGCCGCGUGAGUGAAGAAGGUUUUCGGAUCGUAAAGCUCUGUUGUAAGUCAAGAACGGGUGUGAGAGUGGAAAGUUCACACUGUGACGGUAGCUUACCAGAAAGGGACGGCUAACUACGUG
rnacentral:rRNA from 1 species